UCUGAGAGGAUGAUCAGUCACACUGGAACUGAGACACGGUCCAGACUCCUACGGGAGGCAGCAGUGGGGAAUAUUGGACAAUGGGCGAAAGCCUGAUCCAGCCAUGCCGCGUGUGUGAAGAAGGUCUUCGGAUUGUAAAGCACUUUAAGUUGGGAGGAAGGGCAGUAAGCUAAUACCUUGCUGUUUUGACGUUACCGACAGAAUAAGCACCGGCUAACUCUGUGCCAGCAGCCGCGGUAAUACAGAGGGUGCAAGCGUUAAUCGGAAUUACUGGGUGUUUUUUUGCGCGUAGGUGGUUCGUUAAGUUGGAUGUGAAAGCCCCGGGCUCAACCUGGGAACUGCAUCCAAAACUGGCGAGCUAGAGUAUGGUAGAGGGUGGUGGAAUUUCCUGUGUAGCGGUGAAAUGCGUAGAUAUAGGAAGGAACACCAGUG
rnacentral:rRNA from 1 species